AUGAGUAUGUCAACCAUCCCCACCAGUUUUCCUGAGAGUACAGUGCAGUCCUCAUCUCCUGAACUCUCAGAUGAGCUCACCACUGCCCUCGCCGCAGGGCGAUGGUGGGCAAUAAUGGAGGUUUCUUCUCCUAUAUCUGAAGAGUCUGAGUAUGGGGACCUCACCUUAGUGCAGUGGUGGGGAACAAUGGAGGAAGGAGAAACGUCAUGCCCCAAGUCUCUGGUCUUCAGUGAUGAAUCUGAGAAGGCUGAGUCCUCGCACUCAGGCUUCCCAGCUGCAACACUGAAGACCAAGGAGCUGUGGAGGCAGAAGAAGACACAGGGUCCACCCAUGCCUCCCAGGUCCCAACAGGGAGCACCUGUGCAUGCAUAUACCAAGAAGAGGGACCACACCUCAACCCUUGUCUUCAACUAUGCAUCUAAGAAGGCUGAUUCUCCACACUCAGGCUUUACAGAUGCAAUAGUGAAGACCACGGAUCAGCAGAGGAAGUGGAGGCAGAAGAAGCCUCGGGGAGCACCUGUGCUUGCCGAGUCUGAGAGGGCUGAGUGUGGGGACUCAGAAUUCUCUAAUGAAAUACUGAAGACCACUAAGCAGGGGAGGCAACAGCAAAGGAAGUGGACCGAGAAGAAGCCUCAGGUAGCACCUGAGCCUGCUGGGUACCCACAGGGACCACCUGUGACCACUGGCUCUCAACGAAGAGGAAAGCUCAUGAUCCCCGAGCAUCUGAGGCAUCAUCUGCUUAAGGCCGCUUCUGAACUGGAAACACCUAUGCAAGCUAGGUCCCCACAGAGAGCACCAGUGCCCACAGCGUCUCCUCAACACACACCCAUGUGCACCAAGUCUCUACAGAGAGAAGCAAUGCCUUCCCCAAAGGUGCCAAAACCAAAGAUCCCUGAGCAACUGAGGCAAGAGCUGCUGCAGAAGAAGCCCAACAAGACCCAAGAGAGGCAAAGGCUCAAGAUACCUGAGCCACUAAGUCAGGAGCUGCUGCAGCUGUCGGCUCGAGCCUCUUCUGUUCAAGGAGCACCUGCACCCAACAAGACCCCAGAGAGGCAAAUAAUUAAACUCCCUCAGCCGCUGAGGCAGGAGCUCCUGCAGGUUUCGUCUUGUGCCUCUUCUGAGAAGGGAGCACCUGUGCCUCAAAAGACCCCAGAGAGCCAAAAGCUCAAGAUACCUGAGCGACUGAGUCAAGAGCUGCUGCAGCUAUCACCUCACACCACUUCUGUGAAGGAAGCACCCAAACCCACCAAGAGCCGAUACAGGCUCAAGAUACCUGAGCUGCUGAGUCAGGAGCUGCUGCAGCUGUCGGCUCAAGCCUCUUCUGUUCAAGGAGCACCUGCACCCAACAAGACCCCGCAGAGUCAAAGACUUAAAAUCCCUCAGCCGCUGAGGCAGGAGCUCCUGCAGCUAUUACCUCAAACCACUUCUGUGAAGGAAGCACCCACGCCCACCAAGACCCGAGACAGGCUCAAGAUACCUGAGCCGCUGAGGCAGGAGCUGCUGCAGCUGUCGGCUCGAACCUCUUCUGAGAAGGGAGCACCUGCACCCAACAAGACCCCGGAGAGGCAAAGACUUAAAAUCCCUCAGCCGCUGAGGCAGGAGCUCCUGCAGCUGUCGGCUCGAGCCUCUUCUGUUCAAGGAGCACCUGUGCCUCAAAAGACCCCAGAGAGGCAAAGACUUAAACUCCCUCAGCCGCUGAGGCAGGAGCUCCUGCAGGUUUCAUCUUGUGCCUCUUCUGAGAAGGGAGCACCUGUGCCUCAAAAGACCCCAGAGAGGCAAAAGCUCAAGAUACCUGAGCGACUGAGGAAGGAGUUGCUGCAGCAGAAGCCUCAAGCCUGUCCUGUACAGGGUGCUCCCAUGCCUUCCAAGUCCCCACAGGAAGCACCUUUACCUUACAGGAACCCUGUGCAUGCCGGGACCCCACAGGGAGCAGGAGUGUUUGCCAGGUCUCCACCGGCAGAGGCAGUGCCCGCUGAGCCUCCGAAAGGAGCAACAGUUCCCUCCGGAACUACGAAGACAAGAAAACGGAGGCUUGCUGAGGAUCAAAGCAUUCCUGUCUCUGCCACCCAGGCACUACCCAUGCCCUCCAGGACCUCAAGCGUGACGCCUGUGCAUUCUGGGACCCUACAGGGAGCACUUGUGACCAAAAGUUCCCCACAACAGGGAUCAAAUCCCAGAAUCACUGAGCAGCAGAGGCAGAAGCGGAGGGAGCAGUGGAGACAGCAGCAGAGACAGCGGAGGCAGCAGAAAGCAUCAGACAACGUCGAUGUGUGUGAGCCGCCUCCACAAAAAAAGCUGGGUGUGGAAAUCGAAAAGGUGCAGCUGAAGCUCAAACUGGGGAAGCAUCAAACCCCAAAGCCCAGGUCCCAGCUCACCCUGAAGAUGGAUCAUGCAGCUGUGGGUCAGCAGUCACCUCCAGAAAAAAAGCAGUGCAUGGCAAACAAAAUCAAAGCCCAGCAGUUGGGACCAAGCGGCUUAAAGCAUUUAUGUAGCAUAUUCAUAUGUUUAACUGAAUAUUUGUAAAUAUUUAUUAUUAGUAUAUAUUGUGUUUGUCCAUAUUUAAUAUGAUUGUAUGCAUAAUAAAAAAUAAAAAAUAAUCUAUCUAUC
ensembl:lncRNA